AAGAGGUGUGUAGAAUUUG
rnacentral:piRNA from 1 species